rnacentral:lncRNA from 1 species
GAAACAAAUGAUGGACACAAAUGACAUCACCGAAUACGGGUACCAGAACCAUCAGAAGUUUUCUGCAUUACAUUGAAUCUGGCUUGAAGCCUUUGAGAUAUGAGAUCUGCCCAAUAUCCGUCAUCAUGAGGGACCCACAGGUAGAGAUCAGGGCAGGUGAGCUCAUGAACUUAGAGAAAAGACAUCUAGCUGCCAAGGCAGCGUUGUAAAUCCAGCUACUCAUUGCUCAAGCACAAGCCUUCCUUCAAGACCGGCAACUCCUCUCUCCUCACAGCCCGCAAAGAGGCAGGAUUGUUCUGCUGCAGCUCCAGUAUGUCUGCUUUUGAGACCCUCUCCACCAGAAUCCUCGGGGUACCCUGGCAUGUCCUCAUCUAGACAACUGGAUAAUGCGCAAACAUCAUGUUCUGCCAAGAGUUUAGAAGUAGACGGGGGUUAGAGAUGUCUCUCCACCUUGCUACCAAGUCAGGUCCCUUUGGGGACAGGAAGUGAAGAGCUAUUAGUGUUUACAACUGGACAACAGGCAUAAACCAAAACUGUGCAGGCAGAGAAGGUCCUACGUCACUGCCUUCAUGAGGGAAAUUGAUCUCAGCAAAACCUGGCUACACUUGCAGACACUUGACGGCAAACAAAACAGACAGAACUUGUUAGGUAAGGAACCUGGUCCCCUGAGAGUGUCAUUUUCCCAAGGGCGAGGCCACAGGCAGAGUUUGUGUCCCCCCACCCCCGCCCCAGCUAACACAGAACCUGUGCCUUUCAUCAGCCCUGAGCUUCCUCCCCCAGCUUCUGAGAACAGCCUGCUAAAGCCUCAUGUCUGCGGCUUUCAGAGACGGGUCUUGACCCACGGGUACACUGCCCAACAGAGAACCAGAAAUUCCCUCGACAGCGCCACCGUCACACCAGCUCAAGGCCAGCGACUGGCGAGAAGUACCGAUGCCCAGUGCUUUGUCUACAGUCUGCCCCACCCCGCCCCCAAGAGCACCUGUAGUAUCUGGCAGAGCCGGGGUCUUCGUCUCAAAUCCCACCCUGCCCAGCUUCACCCCUUCUCUGUCCUGCUUGUCCGGCUCCACGGGGCUCUUCCUAACCGAUGACUUGCUCUCAGCUCCUGAGCCCAGGAACCACUCUUGGGAGAACCCAGGCUU